CAUCCCUCAGAUAUCACCGUGGGAUUCCACUGCUACAAAAAAGAACAGAAGUUAGAAGUCACAUGUUUUUCAGAUGGCUGGUAGUGUUUUCAGGCACUGCAAAUGUGGGGUGUUGUCUUUCUUGGUAUAAAGCAGGGAUAUCCAAUCUUUUGACUUCCCUGCCUAUAUUAAAAGAAGCAAAGUUGUCUUGAGCCACACAUAACAUACACAAACACUAACAAUAGCUGAUGAUCUAAAAAAAAACCUCUUUUUUUUUUUUUUUUUUGAGACAGAGUUCCGCUCCACUCAGUCGCCCAGGCUGGAGUGAAGUGGUGCAAUCUUGGCUCACUACAACCUCCAGCUCCUGGGCUCAAGCCAUUCUCCUGCCUCAGCCUCCCGAGUAGCUGAGAUUACAGGUCUCUGCCACCAUGCCCGACUCAUUUUUGUAUUUUUAGUAGAGAUGAGGUUUCACCAUGUUGGCCAGUCUGGCCUUGAACUCCUGACAGGCGAUCUGCCUGCCUCAGCCUCCCAAAGUGCUGGGAUUACAGGUGUGAGCCACCGUGCCCAGCCUAAUUUUUGCAUUUUUAGUAGAGAGGAGGUUUCACCAUGUUGGCCAGGAUUGUCUCCAUCUCCUGACCUUGUAAUCCACCUGCCUCGGCCUCCCAAAGUGCUGGGAUUACAGGCGUGAGCCACUGCAACUGACUUUUUUUCUUUUCCUUUUUUUUUUGUUUUUUGAGACAGAGACUCACUCUGUCACCCAGGCUGGAGUGCAGUGGCAUGAUUUCGGCUCAUUGCAACCUCCACCUCCUGAGUUCAAACAAUUAUCCUGCCUCAUCCUUCAGAGUACCUGGGAUUACAGGUGCGUGCCACCGUGCCCGGCUCAUUUUUGUAUUCUUAGUAGAGACGGCAUUUCACCAUGUUGGCCAGGCUGGUCUCAAACUCCUGGCCUCAACUGAUCCACUCUCAUUGGCCUUCCAAGGUGCUGGGAUUAUAGGCGUGAGCCACCACAACUGGCUCAGUAAAUACAUUUUUUAUUAUCAAAAAAGAGUAGUGUAUGGUUGGCGUAUUCUGUGUAGAAUGUAUUUUAUUGAUGUCUCCUAUUUUUAUAAUUUCUGAGUUAAGUACUUUUUAAUUAAUGCUUUUUAGUUUUGGGCAGAUUCAGUUGACUAAAGCACCUCAUUUCCCAGAUACAUGAAAUAAAAUAUUUGGCUUCUUUUCCAAUUUCACACUGAUGUUAUUUUGUGAAAAUCAGUGCUUUAAGAUAAAUCGUUAUACGUUAAGAUAAACAUGAGAAACUUGAUCUAAUAUUUAAUAUUUAUUCAGUUCUACACUUUAUUAACUUCUACACCAGCAGAUUUAGACAUUAUGUAACCAUCUCAAGAAGUUUCACUUGGAUGUAAUGCUUCACGCUUGUAAUCCCAGCACUUUAGGAGGCUGAGGUGGGAGGACUGCUUAAGGCAAGGAGUCUGAGACCAGCCUGGGCAAUACAGCAAGAUCCCAUCUCUAUUUUAAAGAAAAGUUUCACUUUGGGAGGCCAAGGCGGGUGGAUCACAAGGUCAGGAGAUCGAGACCAUCCUGGCUAACAUAGUAAAACCCCAUCUCUACUAAAAAUAUAAAAAAUUAGCUGGGCGUGGCGGUGGGCGCCUGUAGUCCCAGCUACUCGGGAGGCUGAGGCAGAAGAAUGGCGUGAACCCGGGAGGCAGAGCUUGCAGUGAGCUGAGAUUGCGCCACUGCACUCCAGCCUGGGCGACAGAGUGACACUCCAUCUCAAAAAAAAAAAAAAAAAAAGUUUCGGCAAAUUCCAUCUAAGAAUUCCACCAGAGUUCUGUUGUCUCCAAUGUCAUCUUCCACAGAUUUCAAGUUGUGAAGCCCUGAACUGUUAAUUUAUCUUGAGAAUGUAUAUUUAAGCUUAAUUUAAGACUAUAUACCUAAAAAUUGAGCAUAUAAUUUCUAUAAUUUGUUUAUGUAAAUUUCUGUAAGUCAUAAGUAUGUGGUUUCCAAGUGUAUAAUUUAUCUGAAUGUAAUAGGCAUUAAUAUAUUUUACAUUACUGGGACCAUAGUACAGAAAUUUCUAAAUGGUUUGUAAAAUAACUUGUUAUUUGUGUUGUUGUAAAAGCAGUUAAUACAAUGGAAAAACUCGUAAUAAGAAGAUACAGUUUAACAUCAAAAAGUUUACCCAAGGUAAUUAUGAGUACUACCUGGCAAAACUUCACGGAAGCUGUGGUAUCACUUUUAUGAUGGAAGAAUGGUGUUUGCAUUUUGUGUAAAAGUACUUGCGGCUGGGCGUGGUGGCUCAUGUCCCAGUGCUUUGGGAGGCGAAGGCAGGUGGAUCAUCUGAGCCCAGGAGUUUGAGACCAGCCUAGGCAACGUGGCAAGAGCCUGUCUCUCCAAAACCUACAAAAUUUAGCCAAGCUUGGUGGUGUGAGCCUGUAGUCCCAGCUACUUGGGAGACUCACGCUGGAGGAUCUCUCGAGCCCAGGAGGCAGAAGAUGAAUAAAUAAAUGGAAGCAACUGAAUGGGAUGAGGUCUCUCUUGAAGGAGAGAGCAAAAGAGAUUUAAAUAGUAACAAUUAUAAUAAGGCUGGGCGCGGUGGCUCACGCUUGUAAUCCCAGAACUUUGGGAGGCCAAGGCAGGCGGAUCGGUUGAGGUCAGGAGUUCAAGACCAGCAUGGCCAACACGGUGAAACCCUGUCUCUAUUAAAAAUACAAAAUUAGCCGGACAUGGUAGUGCGUGCCUGUGGUCUCGGCUACUCAGGUGGCUGAGACAGGAGAAUCGCUUGAACCUGGUAGGCACAGGUUGUAGUGAGCCGAUAAAUAUAAAAAGUAUUAGAGUACUAACAGAGGAAAGUUUCCACUGAUCACCUUUUAGCUUUAAAUAAUGCAGAAGCAUUUGCCCAGUUUACUUGUAAUUAAAAAUCAUGCAUCAUUCACAAUUUAUAUCUUUUUUGUUUGUACAAAAAUGAACACAAGUUAUUCUCUUUUAUCUGUAUUGUGAUUGGUUUGGUGAGAGGGAAUUAGGCCACUUGAGAGUUUGUGUGUGUUUACAAUUUUCUGGCCAGGCACGGUGGCUCAUGCCUGUAAUCCCAGCACUUUGGGAGGCCAAGGCGGGCGGAUCACUUGAGCUCAGGAGUUCGAGACCAAAUUGGGCAACAUGGUGAAACCCUAUCUCUACGAAAAAUACAAAAAUUAGCUGAGUGCCGUGGCUUGCGCCUGUCCUCCCAGCUACUUGGGGGGCUGAGGCAGUAGGAUCGCUCAAGCCCAGGAGGUGGAGGUUGCAGUGAGCCAAGAUCACGUCACUGCACUCCAGGAAGGGCAACAGAGCAAGACUCCUUCUAAAAAAAAAAAAAAAAAAAGAAAGAAAGAAAAGAAAAUUAACUUUGGUAUUUCAGGUUGUAUUUAAAUGGAGACUUAACAUGAACUAUGUUCAUAACACUUGACCAAAUUAAGUGUAGAUCGUCUCUUUAAUAAAGAGAUCAUCUGGAACUGCAAUUUCUAACUCAUACAUCAUUGCUACAAACCUUAUUUGUUUACUAUUUCUCUUCCAAGGACCAUCAGUCAUCCUUUAAAAUUCAUUUCAAGCUCUGAAAAGAUAUUUUUUGUUACAUGGGCAAUUUACUUUUAGUACAGUAAAAUGUUAUGUGAAUUUCUACAGUAUGUUUGCCAAAAUGAAUUAUAUCUAGAAUACGCUUAACAAUAUAUUCUGGAGGCAGCUUUCAUUUGAAAUUAGGUUCACCUUCUGAGAGUAUGAAAAAGUUAAUGGGUUUUUGUGCCUGAAGAUUUUGAUGUUGCAUUUGGCUACAUUUAAUCCACUUUCACCCAUAAGUUUUAACAUCUAAAAAAAUUAAAUCACUGCUAAUGCAAUUAAAAUGCAUUAUGAAAUGCAUUUCUGUCCAGGCUGGAGUGCAGUGGCACAAUCUCGGCUCACUGCAAGCUCCGCCUCCCUGGUUCACACCAUUCUCCUGCCUCAGCCUCCCUAGUAGCUGGGACUACAUGUGCCCGCCACCACGCCCGGCUAAUUUUUUUUUUUUUUUUUUUUAAUGAGGCGGAGUCUCGCUCCGUUGACCAGGCUGGAGUGCAAUGGCAUGAUCCUGGCUCACUGCAACCUCUGCUUCCUGGGUUCAAGUGAUUCGCCUGCCUUGCUGGGAUGACAGACGUGCACCACAAUGUCCGGCUAAUUUUGUAUUUUUAGUAGAGACAUGGCUUCACCAUACUGGCCAGGCUGGUCUUGAACUUCUGACCUCAGGUGAUCCCACCUUGGCCUCCCAAAGUGCUGGGAUUACAGGCAUGAGCCACUGUGCCCAGCUUAAGAUCUCUGUUUUAAUGUUAAUGCUGGUCAGUUGUGUCUGGAUUCCAGAGGGAGGAAGGUAGAAUGAGGCAUGUUGACACCUCCCCUUCCCAUCAUGGCCUAAGCUGGUCUUUUCAGUUUACUUUGGAAUGUCCUUGCUCAACAGGAAGGGUCCAUUCAGUCGGAUUGGGUGGCUUAGAAUUUUAUUUUUGGUUUACAUCUCAACUAUCACAGCAGCCGGGCGCGGUGGCUUCACAGCUGUAAUCCCAGCACAUUGGGAGGCUGAGGCAGGGGUAUCACCUGAGGUCUGGAGUUCUAGACCAGCCUGACCAACAUGGAGAAACCCCCCGUCUCUACUAAAAAUACAAAAUUACCCGGGCGUGGUGGUACAUGCCUGUAAUCCCAGCUACUCGGGAGGCUGAGGCAGGAGAAUCGCUUGAACCUGGGAGGCGGAGGCUGCAGCGAGCCAAGACUGCACCACUGCACUCCAG
rnacentral:lncRNA from 1 species